rnacentral:rRNA from 1 species
ACCCAGGCUAAUACCGCAUACGUCCUACGGGAGAAAGGGGGCUUCGGCUCCCGCUAUUGGAUGAGCCUAUGUCGGAUUAGCUAGUUGGUAAGGUAAAGGCUUACCAAGGCAACGAUCCGUAGCUGGUCUGAGAGGAUGAUCAGCCACAUCGGGACUGAGACACGGUCCCGAACUCCUACGGGAGGCAGCAGUGGGGAAUAUUGGACAAUGGGGGCAACCCUGAUCCAGCCAUGCCGCGUAUGUGAAGAAGGCCCUCGGGUUGUAAAGCACUUUCAGCGAGGAAGAACGCCUGUCGGUUAAUACCCGGUAGGAAAGACAUCAAUCGCAGAAGAAGCACCGGCUAACUCCGUGCCAGCAGCCGCGGUAAUACGGAGGGUGCAAGCGUUAAUCGGAAUUACUGGGCGUAAAGCGCGCGUAGGUGGCUUGAUAAGCCGGUUGUGAAAGCCCCGGGCUCAACCUGGGAACGGCAUCCGGAACUGUCAGGCUAGAGUGCAGGAGAGGAAGGUAGAAUUCCCGGUGUAGCGGUGAAAUGCGUAGAGAUCGGGAGGAAUACCAGUGGCGAAGGCGGCCUUCUGGACUGACACUGACACUGAGGUGCGAAAGCGUGGGUAGCAAACAGGAUUAGAUACCCUGGUAGUCCACGCCGUAAACGAUGUCGACCAGCCGUUGGGUGCCUAGCGCACUUUGUGGCGAAGUUAACGCGAUAAGUCGACCGCCUGGGGAGUACGGCCGCAAGGUUAAAACUCAAAUGAAUUGACGGGGGCCCGCACAAGCGGUGGAGCAUGUGGUUUAAUUCGAUGCAACGCGAAGAACCUUACCUACCCUUGACAUCUACAGAAGCCGGAAGAGAUUCUGGUGUGCCUUCGGGAACUGUAAGACAGGUGCUGCAUGGCUGUCGUCAGCUCGUGUUGUGAAAUGUUGGGUUAAGUCCCGUAACGAGCGCAACCCUUGUCCUUAUUUGCCAGCGAGUAAUGUUGGGAACUCUAAGGAGACUGCCGGUGACAAACCGGAGGAAGGUGGGGACGACGUCAAGUCAUCAUGGCCCUUACGGGUAGGGCUACACACGUGCUACAAUGGCCGGUACAAAGGGCUGCGAGCUCGCGAGAGUCAGCGAAUCCCUUAAAGCCGGUCUCAGUCCGGAUCGGAGUCUGCAACUCGACUCCGUGAAGUCGGAAUCGCUAGUAAUCGUGAAUCAGAAUGUCACGGUGAAUACGUUCCCGGGCCUUGUACACACCGCCCGUC